GUCGAGGAUCAUUUGCAAUGGGCGAAAGCCUGACAAUGCGACGCUGCGUGGAGGAUGAAGGCCUUCGGGUUGUAAACUCCUGUCAUUUGGGAACAAUAGCACGAGAGCGAAUAGCUCUUGUGUAUGAUGGUACCAGAAGAGGAAACGGUUGCUAACUCUGUGCCAGCAGCAGCGGUAAUACAGAGACCGUGAGCGUUGUUCGGAUUUACUGGGCGUAAAGGGUGCGUAGGCGGCUAGACAUGUCGGAUGUGAAAUCCCACGGCUUAACUGUGGAAUGGCAUCCGAAACCGUUUGGCUAGAGUGCAGGAGGGGAGAGUGGAAUUCUUGGUGUAGCGGUGAAAUGCGUUGAUAUCAAGAGGAACACCGGUGGCGAAGGCGGCUCUCUGGAAUGCAACUGACGCUGAGGCACGAAAGCUGGGGGAGCAAACAGGAUUAGAAACCCUGGUAGUCC
rnacentral:rRNA from 1 species